rnacentral:tRNA from 1 species
CUAAAGCCCCUCGCUUACACCGAGCACAUGCCUGUUGGACCCAGGCCGUUUUGA